UACGGAGGGUGCGAGCGUUGUCCGGAAUCACUGGGCGUAAAGGGCGCGUAGGUGGCGCGGAAAGUCAACGGUGAAAGCUUGGGGCUCAACCCCGAGUCGGCCGUCGAUACUUCUGGGCUUGAGCACUGUAGAGGCAGGUGGAAUUCCGGGUGUAGCGGUGAAAUGCGCAGAUAUCAGGAAGAACACCCGUGGCGAAAGCGGCUCUCUGGAACGGUACUGACGCUGAGACGCGAAAGCGUGGGGAGCAAACAGG
rnacentral:rRNA from 1 species